AAAUCCGAGUUGAUCGGGCUCGGCCCGAUCCUCCCACCCUUUGUGUACCUACCUCUGUUGCUUUGGCGGGCCGCGGUCCUCCGCGGCCGCCCCCCUCCCCGGGGGGUGGCCAGCGCCCGCCAGAGGACCAUCAAACUCCAGUCAGUAAACGAUGCAGUCUGAAAAACAUUUAAUAAACUAAAACUUUCAACAACGGAUCUCUUGGUUCUGGCAUCGAUGAAGAACGCAGCGAAAUGCGAUAAGUAAUGUGAAUUGCAGAAUUCAGUGAAUCAUCGAAUCUUUGAACGCACAUUGCGCCCUUUGGUAUUCCGAAGGGCAUGCCUGUUCGAGCGUCAUUACAACCCUCAAGCUCUGCUUGGUAUUGGGCACCGUCCUUUGCGGGCGCGCCUCAAAGACCUCGGCGGUGGCGUCUUGCCUCAAGCGUAGUAGAACAUACAUCUCGCUUCGGAGCGCAGGGCGUCGCCCGCCGGACGAACCUUCUGAACUUUUCUCAAGGUUGACCUCGGAUCAGGUAGGGAUACCCGCUGAACUUAAGCAUAUCAUAAGGCGGGAGGAA
rnacentral:rRNA from 1 species